rnacentral:sRNA from 1 species
GCUGGGUGUGGUGGUGCAUGUCUGUAAUCCCAGCUGCUCCGGAGGCUGAGGCAGGAGCAUUGCAAGUUAGAGAUUGGGCUCAGCAACUUAGAAAUACCCUGUAUCAA